AGACAUUCCAGCAGGAACAGCUCAUCGAUUAAUGGGAAUUUGUUUUUUCCCAAGAUGAAUUUUUGCUUCUGUAGAAGUUUUGUGUAUAAAUCAUUUUGCCCUUAGCUGCACUGUUGUUUUGCCAUCAAAGACAUCACAGUAUCAUGGAUCAUUGAGACCUCCAUCGUGACCAGUGGUGUGCGGCGUUAUUCCAUUCCCACACACCAACUCCUGGCUCUUCAGAUACGAUACUGCUAUGCAUCCCUCAUUUUUGCUUGGUGUAUAUAUACGCUAAGGGAAGGCACGCGUUAUGGUUUGGACAUGAUACACCCGCUAAGGGCUCAUUCUGUUGAAGUCAUGGCUGCUGAUGGUCUCCUGAGAUGGACUGGAUCUUGACGGCUCCGACUUCACAGUGGGUUAAUCCACCAAUGACACUGUAGCUUGAUGGCAUUACUGGUCAGGCAAGACAGCAGAUGGAGCAAAGAGAGUACAUCACGGGGACCUGACCUAGCCACUGUGUAUGAUCACUGUUCCCUUCCUGGCCA
rnacentral:lncRNA from 1 species